rnacentral:lncRNA from 1 species
CUGAGUGCUUGUGAAUGGGGCAGUUUUGGCCUAUGUCGGGGCUGAAAUUGUGUGAAAACUGACCUAGUAGUUAUGGCAGUCAAUUACAAUCGAUUUUGGCCAACAAAUUCUGCGUGUUGAGUACUUGGAAGUUGGAACUUAGGCAGAUAGGGAGAGUUGAUGAGGCAACAAUGUGUGUCGGCCCUUGACAAAUUUUUGUAACUGUUUUCUUUAUUUUAGAGAGAAAUAAAGUUGUAACGGUUUCUGUAACCUUAUAACUUCAAUUUUCU